rnacentral:rRNA from 1 species
UACGUAGGGUGCGAGCGUUGUCCGGAAUUAUUGGGCGUAAAAGGGCUCGUAGGCGGUUUGUCGCGUCGGGGAGUGAAAACCUUGGGCUUAACUCAGGGCUUGCUUUCGAUACGGGCAGACUAGAGGUAUGCAGGGGAGAACGGAAUUCCUGGUGUAGCGGUGAAAUGCGCAGAUAUCAGGAGGAACACCGGUGGCGAAGGCGGUUCUCUGGGCAUGAUCUGACGCUGAGGAGCGAAAGUGUGGGGAGCGAACAGG